rnacentral:rRNA from 1 species
GACGGAGGGUGCUAGCGUUGUUCGGAAUUACUGGGCGUAAAGGGCGCGUAGGCGGCCCUGUCAGUCGGGUGUGAAAGCCCGGGGCUCAACCCCGGAACGGCACCCGAGACGGCAGGGCUGGAGACCGGGAGAGGAGGGUGGAAUAGCCAGUGUAGAGGUGAAAUUCGUAGAUAUUGGCUGGAACACCGGUGGCGAAAGCGGCUCUCUGGACGGUGACUGACGCUGAGACGCGAAAGCGUGGGGAGCAAACAGG